UCUUGCUCAAAUCAGACAACAAAGAGGUAAGGCCAGUCACGUCCUUCCAAGUAACGGCUACUUUACCACUGUAGCCGUCACAAAUCAUUCCAACGGUCACAUUGCCCUUCACCAGCGACCAGAACCACCACGUUUGUCUCUCCGCUCUAUAUAUCCCCCCUUCCGAUCUCUUUGAACCCUUCAUCUCCACUACUCCAGCAAAAGCCAAAACACUUCCCGCUUUCCAUUUAUCAAUUGUUGCCGAUUCCAUAAACGCCCACUCAAUAUGUUGCAGAGACUCUUUCUACUCAUUUUCCUUGCUUUUACUUUUUCUUUUAUUGUACAUGCAGACAAUGCGCCUGCCCCUUCGCCAUCUAAAACAACACAGCCCUCUGCAUCACCUGCCAAAUCUCCUGUCUCUUCUCCUGCCAGUGCUCCUGCUGAAUCUCCCACAACUUCUCCUGUAAGUGCUCCGGCUAAAUCUCCGACAACUUCUCCCGCAAGUUCUCCGGUGACUUCUCCGUCUUCCACUCCUUCCUCUUCCCCUUCAAAAUCUCCCGCACAAUCUCCUAAAAUCUCACCUGCAAUCCUGCCAUCCCCAACUUCUGUUGUUCCCCCAUCUCCAAGUGGGUCCCCUCCAGUUUUGUCUCCAACGACUCCACCGCCAUCGGUUUCCACUCCGGCUGCAACUCCGGUGACUACUCCGACUUCGGCUCCAAUCGCUAAUCCACCAGUUACGGAAGGUCCGGCUACUGCAGCAACCCCAGAGGCAUCGGCGAGUAUUCCUUCCAGUUCUGCAACACCAGUAGAGGCCCCAAUGGUUUUCCCCUCCACCAGCAGCCCGCCGAUCGCCACUCCAGCGAGUUUGUCACCAGAAACGGCAGAAAGCCCGACGAACGAUGAAUCGGGUUCUAGGUCCAUGAAUGAGAUUGGGGUUGCUUUUGGGUGGUUAUUUAUUGUGUACUGGGGCUUCCUUGGCUUGGCUCGGGCAAUUUAAUUUUUUUUUUAAACCAUUUAAUUUUAUUUAUUUAUUUAUUUAUU
rnacentral:misc_RNA from 1 species